rnacentral:rRNA from 1 species
UACGUAGGUGACAAGCGUUGUCCGGAUUUACUGGGCGUAAAGAGCGCGCAGGCGGUCGAUCAAGUCGCGUGUGAAAGCCCCCGGCUCAACUGGGGAGGGUCACGCGAUACUGAUCGACUCGAAGGCAGGAGAGGGUAGUGGAAUUCCCGGUGUAGUGGUGAAAUGCGUAGAUAUCGGGAGGAACACCAGUGGCGAAGGCGACUACCUGGGCUGUUUCUUGACGCUGAGGCGCGAAAGCUAGGGGAGCAAACGGG